UAAUAACCUAAGAGGAUAUUAGGCGCAAUUGUGCGACUAUGGAGAUAUCAUCAUUUAUGUCGACUCCAUACAAAAAAAAAAAAUUCUAAGUGCGCUGUUUACGAUUGUAAACCUGAAAGUUCAUUAUAUAAGGCAUAUAGCAGUUAUUCUCAAUCGCAUUCAAGCAAAAAAAGCGUCACUUGAAAAAAAAAUUUGACUGUCUAUGAAACGUGAAUUUCAGCCCACUGUGUGGCUUACCUUACAGCAGGAAUACAACACUAGGGCUGUGUUAUUUGGCUGAGGCGCUUAUGAUUUUCACUCUACCUCAGAUUAAUAAACAAAAGGCAGAUGGAGCGUGCCGAACAUGCGAGUGAAGCCACCAAAGCGAAUACAAAAUCAAAAGCGAAUACAAAGUCGCAGCAGUGCUAAAGAUAGCGUCGUAUUGUUUAAACGUCUCGAGUGAUUCAUUAUUUUGUGUCAAAAAAUGCCGUCUUGUGUUAUUAAACAUUGUGAAAGUUGUUCCCAAAAAUAAAAAAAAGGGGAUGGAAUUUCAUUUCACAGAUUGCCGACAGAUGUUGUUCUACGCGAGGAAUGGGUUUCUAUUAUUUGCCAAAGCAGGCAAGAAAAUAAUUGGCAGGCUUCAAAAUUUUGCGUUGUGUGUUCAUAACAUUUUAAAGAGGAUGGCUUAUGCUUUACCGAAAAAUGUCGUAGGUUGAUAAAAAAAAAAUUCCAAUGUAAUUAUUUGUAAUACUAUCUUAUCUUUUGGUCUAGUCUUUAAGUUGUCUGUAUAUCGAUAUAUGUGUGAGUGUGAAUAAAUGAUGAUUAUUAUUAUUAUUAUUAUUAUUAAUAAAUAUUUUAAAUUAUG